rnacentral:rRNA from 1 species
AAAUUCCCCAGCCACCACCGCGCCACUCGCCGCCGCGGCCGACCUCAACCCGCCUGCCGCGGCCGCACCUCUUCCCGCUCGCUGCCCCCGUCGCGGCGCUCGGGCGCAGCUUUUGGAUCUGGUCAACGCAGUAGCUCGAGCGGCCAGGGACGACGCGUCUGCUCGAUGCAGAACAACGGCGUCGGGAUCUAGCGGGCGGGGGAGAAGGAGGGAUCCGGCACGGUGACGCGAAGUCCCUCCGCCGCUGCUGUCGUCGAGGAAGCAAGGAAGCAGGCCGACGACGUGGUGGUGCAGUAUGUGGUGGUGCCGACGACGAGGCCAAGGCCAGCGCGCAGGACAAGAUGCAGCGUGGCGUGGUCACGAGCUUGUCCCACAAGAACGCCCAUCUCCUAAAG